CACGUAGGGCGCAAGCGUUGUCCGGAAUUAUUGGGCGUAAAGAGCUCGUAGGCAGGUCUGUUGCGUCCGCCUGUGAAAACUCGGGGCUUAACCCCGAGCCUGCAGUGGAUACGGGCAGACUAGAGGUAGGUAGGGGAGAAUGGAAUUCCCGGUGUAGCGGUGAAAUGCGCAGAUAUCGGAGGAAGAACCACGGCUGGACGGCGAAGGCUGAUCGGUGGUCGUU
rnacentral:rRNA from 1 species